rnacentral:rRNA from 1 species
UACGGAGGGUGCAAGCGUUGUCCGGAAUCACUGGGCGUAAAGGGCGCGCAGGCGGCUCAUGAAGGCUGUGGUGAAAGUCCGGGGCUCAACCUCGGAUCGGCCGUGGCGACUCGUGGGCUGGAGCACUGUAGAGGCGGGUGGAAUUCCGGGUGUAGCGGUGGAAUGCGCAGAUAUCGGGAAGAACACCCGUGGCGAAGGCGGCACUCUGGGACGGUACUGACGCUGAGACGCGAAAGCGUGGGGAGCGAACAGG